rnacentral:rRNA from 1 species
UACGUAGGGUGCGAGCGUUAAUCGGAAUUACUGGGCGUAAAGGGCGCGUAGGCGGCCUGCCAAGUCAGGGGUGAAAGCCCCCAGCUCAACUGGGGAAGUGCCUUUGAUACUGGCGGGCUCGAGCGAGGCAGGGGUCGUGGGAACUUCCGGUGGAGCGGUGAAAUGCGUUGAUAUCGGAAGGAACGCCGGUGGCGAAAGCGCACGACUGGUCCUCUUCUGACGCUGAGGCGCGAAAGCCAGGGGAGCAAGCGGG